CGGCUGCCAAGAAUACACAGCACCGGGUAAAACUGAUCCUGGGGGUCCUCCUCAUAUUGGUCUUCAUAACUUUGGUCAUCCUCACAAGUUUCCUGUUCGUUUCCUAUAAAAGUGUUGGUGAGGAAAUGUCACAGAUGCGGAAUGAUUCUCUUUCCAGUGAAGUUCAGAGCAUUCGGGGAGCUGUGAGGAACCUGGAACAAGUCCAGACAGCAAGCAGUAAGAUU